GGCUAAACGAUGACAGAUAUGAAGAAUCCAG
rnacentral:piRNA from 1 species